rnacentral:piRNA from 1 species
UNGAAAGGAUAAGGGCAGUGUAAAGGUU